rnacentral:rRNA from 1 species
AACGAACGCUGGCGGCAUGCCUAACACAUGCAAGUCGAACGAGACCUUCGGGUCUAGUGGCGCACGGGUGCGUAACGCGUGGGAAUCUGCCCUUGGGUUCGGAAUAACAGUUAGAAAUGACUGCUAAUACCGGAUAAUGUCUUCGGACCAAAGAUUUAUCGCCCAGGGAUGAGCCCGCGUAGGAUUAGCUAGUUGGUGAGGUAAAGGCUCACCAAGGCGACGAUCCUUAGCUGGUCUGAGAGGAUGAUCAGCCACACUGGGACUGAGACACGGCCCAGACUCCUACGGGAGGCAGCAGUGGGGAAUAUUGGACAAUGGGCGAAAGCCUGAUCCAGCAAUGCCGCGUGAGUGAUGAAGGCCUUAGGGUGUAAAGCUCUUUACCCGGGUAUGAUAAUGACAGUACCGGGAGAAUAAGCCCCGGCUAACUCCGUGCCAGCAGCCGCGGUAAU